GUGCUCUCUUCAGCAGCACAUAUACUAAAAUUGGAACGGUACAGAGAAGAUUAGCAUGGCCCCUGAGUGAGGAUGACAUGCAAAUUCGUGAAGCAAUCCAUAUUUUU
ensembl:snRNA U6 U6 spliceosomal RNA